rnacentral:rRNA from 1 species
GACGAACGCUGGCGGCGUGCCUAAUACAUGCAAGUUGAACGAAGUUUUCUCCCGAGGUACUUGUACCUCAUUUGAAAACUUAGUAGCGAACGGGUGAGUAACACGUGGGUAACCUGCCCAUUAGAGGGGGAUAACACUUGGAAACAGGUGCUAAUACCGCAUAACAAUGGACUCCGCAUGGAGACUAUUUGAAAGGCGCAAUUGCGUCACUAAUGGAUGGACCCGCGCUGUAUUAGCUAGUUGGUGAGGUAAUGGCUCACCAAGGCUACGAUACAUAGCCGACCUGAGAGGGUGAUCGGCCACACUGGGACUGAGACACGGCCCAAACUCCUACGGGAGGCUGCAGUAGGGAAUCUUCGGCAAUGGGGGCAACCCUGACCGAGCAACGCCGCGUGAGUGAAGAAGGUUUUCGGAUCGUAAAACUCUGUUGUUAGAGAAAGAAUGGUCGGCAGAGUAACUGUUGUCGGCGUGACGGUAUCCAACCAGAAAGCCACGGCUAACUACGUGCCAGCAGCCGCGGUAAUACGUAGGUGGCAAGCGUUAUCCGGAAUUAUUGGGCGUAAAGCGCACGCAGGCGGUCUGUCAAGUCGGAUGUGAAAUCCCCCGGCUCAACCGGGGAGGGUCAUUGGAAACCGGGCAGCUAGAGUGCAGGAGAGGAUCGUGGAAUUCCAUGUGUAGCGGUGAAAUGCGUAGAUAUAUGGAGGAACACCAGUGGCGAAGGCGGCUCUCUGGUCUGUAACUGACGCUGAGGCUCGAAAGCGUGGGGAGCAAACAGGAUUAGAUACCCUGGUAGUCCACGCCGUAAACGAUGAGUGCUAAGUGUUGGAGGGUUUCCGCCCUUCAGUGCUGCAGCAAACGCAUUAAGCACUCCGCCUGGGGAGUACGACCGCAAGGUUGAAACUCAAAGGAAUUGACGGGGGCCCGCACAAGCGGCGGAGCAUGCGGAUUAAUUCGAUGCAACGCGAAGAACCUUACCAGGUCUUGACAUCCUUUGACCACUCUAGAGAUAGAGCUUUCCCUUCGGGGACAAAGUGACAGGUGGUGCAUGGUUGUCGUCAGCUCGUGUUGGGAGAUGUUGGGUUAAGUCCCGCAACGAGCGCAACCCUUAUCGUUAGUUACCAUCAUUAAGUUGGGGACUCUAGCGAGACUGCCGGUGACAAACCGGAGGAAGGUGGGGAUGACGUCAAAUCAUCAUGCCCCUUAUGACCUGGGCUACACACGUGCUACAAUGGAGAGUACAACGAGCCGCAAGCCAGCGAUGGUUAGCAAAUCUCUUAAAGCUCUUCUCAGUUCGGAUUGUAGGCUGCAACUCGCCUACAUGAAGCCGGAAUCGCUAGUAAUCGCGGAUCAGCACGCCGCGGUGAAUACGUUCCCGGGC